rnacentral:rRNA from 1 species
UGGGGAAUUUUGCACAAUGGGGGAAACCCUGAUGCAGCGACGCCGCGUGAUUUAGAAGGCCUUCGGGUUGUAAAAAUCUUUUGUAUGGGAAGAAAAUGACAGUACCAUACGAAUAAGGACCGGCUAAUUACGUGCCAGCAGCCGCGGUAAUACGUAAGGUCCGAGCGUUGUCCGGAAUCAUUGGGCGUAAAGGGUACGUAGGCGGAUAAGCAAGUUAGAAGUGAAAUCCUAUAGCUCAACUAUAGUAAGCUUUUAAAACUGCUCAUCUUGAGGUAUGGAAGGGAAAGUGGAAUUCCUAGUGUAGCGGUGAAAUGCGCAGAUAUUAGGGGGAAUACCGGUGGCGAAGGCGACUUUCUGGCCAUAUACUGACGCUGAGGUACGAAAGAGUGAGUAGCAAACAGG